UUGCUUUGGCAGCAUGUAUAGUAAAAUUGAAAUGAUACAGAGAAGAUUAGCAUGGCCCGUGCACAAGGAUGACAUGGAAAUUUGUGAAGCAUUCCAUAUUUUU